rnacentral:rRNA from 1 species
AGUGAACGCUGGCGGCAGGCCUAACACAUGCCAGUCGAACGGCAGCACAAGAGAGCUUGCUCUCUGGGUGGCGAGUGGCGGACGGGUGAGGAAUGCAUCGGAAUCUGCCCAUUUGUGGGGGAUAACCUCGGGAAACCGGGACUAAUACCGCAUACGACCUACGGGUGAAGGCAGGGGAUCUUCGGACCUUGCGCAGAUGGAUGAGCCGAUGCCGGAUUAGCUAGUUGGAGGGGUAAAGGCCCACCAAGGCGACGAUCCGUAGCUGGUCUGAGAGGAUGAUCAGCCACACUGGGACUGAGACACGGCCCAGACUCCUACGGGAGGCAGCAGUGGGGAAUAUUGGACAAUGGGCGCAAGCCUGAUCCAGCCAUGCCGCGUGCGUGAAGAAGGCCUUCGGGUUGUAAAGCACUUUUGUUGGGAAAGAAAAGCAGCCGGUUAAUACCCGGUUGUCAUGACGGUACCCAAAGAAUAAGCACCGGCUAACUUCGU